rnacentral:lncRNA from 1 species
AAAGUGUCCAACAUACAGUUGGUGUAAAAUUUUAAAAAAUGAUUCCCAUUUAUCCCUUGCUUUAGCUAAUGCUGAUUCCUUCAUGCGGUAUGCCUUUGCCUUCUUCCACGUACCUGUUGGAUUUCCACCCGCCUCUCAAGGACUAGGUACUUCCUUCCCUUUUCAGCUGCUGGGCCCAAGUCCUUGAAGUUAUUUUUCCCUCUGAACCUUGUUUCUCUAUUACAGCAGUUGCUGUGGUCUGCCUUGUAUCAGGAUCGUUGGUACAUGUUUGUCUGGCCUGCAUACAAUCAGGAGCCUCUGGGGGCAGCGAUAUUGAACUCACCUUUGCAUCCCUCUAGAGUACCUUUGGAGAGACUUGCAUAUAACAGUUCCUCAGUGACAGCUAAAUUUAAAAGAAUUGCUUGCUAUGGCCCCAGGACUCCUGGAAGAUGAUAUGUGGCAAUAACUGUCACCCAGAGCCACCAAAGCACUUCACCUGCCCUGCCUCGUAGCGCUUCUGCCGGGUGUCACUGCUUUUUGUAUGUUAAUUAGACUGGGGGUUCCCCGAGAGUGGCUUGUAUCUCCGUGACCCCUGUGUCUCCGCCGGGGCCCUGCAGUGUCUGCUACACCGGAGCAGCAAAAUAAAUGGGGCUGGUUGAAGGAGUAAGCUAAGGCCAGCUAACUGCUCUCAAGCGCCUUUAAUUAUGGUCUUUGGUGCCCUCUUACCGCUUCAUCUUAUUUAUCACUCUUUUCCUGAGACCUUCUAAGAUAGAAUGCAGACACGAACAUGUGUGCAUGCACACACACGCACGCUGGCUUAAUAUAUGCACAGUGGAAGCUGAAUACAACAUCUCGCUGGGACACUUCCACACUUGUUAAGACAGUUCCCAAAACACAUUAAAAAAUGAUGGAUUGUGCCGUCCCGGCUCCUUGUUCAUUUUAGCACGAUAGAAUUUCUUGAUAGUGUCUGAUUUCAGAGCACACCUGUAGACCUAGUGACAGCCUGCGCUCCUGGGUGGGUUUGGAAAAGCGCUUAUUUGUUCUGAAGCUAAAAUUAAACUGCAAGUUUUUACAUGUUGUUUAGCGGCAGCAGCUGAUGCAAAUCUUUGUCAACACGGAACUUUUCACACCUCAGGUUUCAACUACAGUAAGUGGAUUACUAUGUAAGACUGGCAUUGGGUUUUUGGCACUGAAAAUGAAUGAACUAGCUUGGAGAAAUUAAAAGUCAUGCUCUUUAUCUUCCUUUGAGUUACAAUCUUUUAAUUUUAAGAAUUUUCAGAAUUUGGGCCACUUUUGUUCUUUCGUAGCACUUUUGAGUUUCCUCGUUCCAGCCAGGACGCCUGGACGGAAAAGGGAAGCGCCGAGUGCUUGUGUUGGUGAGGCGAUCGUCUUUCCUGGAGAGGGAAGUGGCCUUGUCUGGAGUCUGAAACGCUAAUCUCUCCACGCUCUAGUUUGCCGUGCUG